rnacentral:rRNA from 1 species
GGGGAAUAUUGGACAAUGGGCGCAAGCCUGAUCCAGCCAUGCCGCGUGGGUGAAGAAGGCCUUCGGGUUGUAAAGCUCUUUCGGCCGGGAAGAAAUCGUGCAGGCUAAUACCCUGUAUGGAUGAUGGUACCGGAAUAAGAAGCACCGGCUAACUACGUGCCAGCAGCCGCGGUAAUACGUAGGGUGCGAGCGUUAAUCGGAAUUACUGGGCGUAAAGCGCGCGUAGGUGGUUCGUUAAGUUGGAUGUGAAAGCCCCGGGCUCAACCUGGGAACUGCAUCCAAAACUGGCGAGCUAGAGUAUGGCAGAGGGUGGUGGAAUUUCCUGUGUAGCGGUGAAAUGCGUAGAUAUAGGAAGGAACACCAGUGGCGAAGGCGACCACCUGGGCUAAUACUGACACUGAGGUGCGAAAGCGUGGGGAGCAAACA